AGCAGCCGCGGUAAUUCCAGCUCCAAUAGCGUAUAUUAAAGUUGUUGCAGUUAAAAAGCUCGUAGUUGAAUUUCGGGAUUGACACAUCGGUCGUGCCUUAAGGGGUAUGAACUGGUGUAGUCAAUUUCUCACCUUCUGGAGAACCGCGAUGCCCUUAAUUGGGUGUCGCGGGGAACCAGGACCUUUACUUUGAAAAAAUUAGAGUGUUUAAAGCAGGCAUUUUGCUUGAAUACAUUAGCAUGGAAUAAUAAAAUAGGACGGCAUGAUUCUAUUUUGUUGGUUUCUAGGAUCACCGUAAUGAUUAAUAGGGAUAGUUGGGGGCAUUAGUAUUCAAUUGUCAGAGGUGAAAUUCUUGGAUUUAUUGAAGACUAACUACUGCGAAAGCAUUUGCCAAGGAUGUUUUCAUUAAUCAAGAACGAAAGUUAGGGGAUCGAAGACGAUCAGAUACCGUCGUAGUCUUAACCAUAAACUAUGCUGACUAGGAAUCAGACGAUGUU
rnacentral:rRNA from 1 species